CACCUCAGUCUCUGCUCCUAGGUUACCUACUGACAAAGCUCUCCAGGGGCUGGACGUUUUUCAAUGGGAACCUCUAUUACUUUUCACAAGAAAAGAAGCCGUGGGAUGAGGCCGAGCAGUUCUGUGUGUCUCAGGACUCGCACCUGACCUCUGUCUCCUCCCAGGCGGAACAGGAGUUUAUCUCCAGCGAGACCCAGGGACAAGAUCACUGGAUUGGACUCACCGACCGGGAGACAGAAGGCAGCUGGCGCUGGGUGGACGGCACAGAAUACAGAGCAGACGCAAGCAGGGGGUUCUGGGCGGAGAAUGAGCCAAACAACUGGGAUCAGGGGAUUGGAGGCAGAGAAGACUGUGCUGAGAUCUACA